UGUUUUAGCGUACGCUUCGCUGGGUGCCUCUGUUUUGGCGUUCACUCUGCCGAUAGUAGGCGGCGGCGGCUAUGGCCUAUGGGGGCGUGACCUUUUCUUCUAUUCUCAGAGGAGGGCGACGGUGUUCUUGCUGGCUGCGCGACGUAGGGCUGCAUGAAGGUAGGCGGGUGGAGCUCUCGAACGGCGGAUGUGGAUGAAGACAUCCUCAGCGGCGACGGGGAUCAGAUCCUCUCUCUCUGAAGCGGCGGCGGCGGCGGACGGACGCAUCCUCAGCAGCGCCGCAGAAUCAGGUCACGGCGCCCCUCUCUGUUCCUGAGUCUGCUCUUCUCGGUCCUCUCAUUAGAAUGGCGCACGGCGGGGGCUGGUCGAGGGAUCGCCCAGAACGUAGUGAACUGCCUGGAACAUGGCGAACUCCGGUGCCACCCUAUAGUCAACUUUGUUAGAAAUUUAGUUCCAACAAACGUUGGCGCUGAUCCACCCUUCAGACAUGCCCGCGUCAGUGGAAUACCUACCAUUGGGCAAGCAUGGCCAGCGACCUUCAACUCUUGCUAUGUAUGAACAUGAAACCUGAGACACGUGAGAGAAUUUUGAAAAGUGUUCCUUGCUUCAAAGAAUUCAGUGUUUCAUGUAUGCAAUGGUUCACUGUUAGUUCGUCAAUGGUUUUAUGUUUUACCCCUUUCCAGCUUUUUCUUUGUUUUCCAGCUAGAGAGGAAUGUCUAUGCUACUUGUUUUAAGAAUAUAUUUAUGCAAGCUUCUGAAUAAUGAAUUCAGAAUA